rnacentral:rRNA from 1 species
UACGUAGGUGGCUAGCGUUGUCCGGAUUUACUGGGCGUAAAGCGCGCGCAGGCGGUCGUUCAAGUCGAGUGUGAAAGCCCCCGGCUCAACUGGGGAGGGUCACUCGAUACUGAUCGACUUGAAGGCAGAAGAGGGAAGCGGAAUUCCCGGUGUAGUGGUGAAAUGCGUAGAUAUCGAGAGGAACACCUGCGGCGAAGGCGGGUUGCUGGGCUGACACUGACGCUGAGGCGCGAAAGCUAGGGGAGCGAACGGG